CCCUACCCGUGCCGCAGACGCACACCAUCCUCUUCUCCUCCCUCCCGUCAGCGACCUGCCUCCACUCCGCGAGGCAGAUCGAUCGAGACCCAUGGCCGGGGUCGCCACCGUGCCUCGCCGCGCAGCGCAUCGGGUACUUUGACGUUAGAAGGGAUACUUGCCCCUUUGGCGGAUGAUGUUUUUACAAGCAUGCCUACAC